rnacentral:rRNA from 1 species
GCCAGACUCCUACGGGAGGCAGCAGUGGGGAAUAUUGCAUAAUGGGGGAAACCCUGAUGCAGCGACGCCGCGUGAGUGAAGAAGUAUUUCGGUAUGUAAAGCUCUAUCAGCAGGGAAGAAAAUGACGGUACCUGAUUAAGAAGCCCCGGCUAACUACGUGCCAGCAGCCGCGGUAAUACGUAGGGGGCAAGCGUUAUCCGGAUUUACUGGGUGUAAAGGGAGCGUAGACGGUGAUGCAAGUCAGAAGUGAAAGCCCGGGGCUCAACUCCGGGACUGCUUUUGAAACUGUGUGACUGGAGUGCAGGAGAGGUAAGCGGAAUUCCUGGUGUAGCGGUGAAAUGCGUAGAUAUCAGGAGGAACACCAGUGGCGAAGGCGGCUUACUGGACUGUAACUGACGUUGAGGCUCGAAAGCGUGGGGAGCAAACAGGAUUAGAUACCCCGGUAC